UUACUCUUCCACUAGCUCCGGCUUCCAGAUGUCUCUGUCGGUGGCGCAGCCCAAAAGCGCGCGCAGCCCAGGAGCGUCUCGGAGCUGCACCAGGAUGGGGAUCAAACUGUUGAAAUAAAUCAACCUAACGAGGCCGCCAGGAAGGACCGACUACAGAGAUUCGUCCUGCCCAGACAUUUUGUACUCGCUUCUUGACCCCUUCCUCAAAAUGGACGGUAGAUGAAAACUCACUAUGCUGCCCAGACUCGUCUCGAACUCCUGGGUGUCACGCGUGUCCGUAUAGAAGACCACCUAAACAGGCUUUGUGUUCACGUGUUGAAAUCCUAACUCCAAAUAUGAUGAUAGGAGGAGAUGGGGCCUUCGGGAGGUGAUGAGGUCAUGAGGGUGGAAUCCUCAUGAAUGGUCUCAACGCCCUUAGAAAAGAGACCCCAGAGACCUCGCUCCCGCUUUCUACUGUGGGAGAAUGCAGCAAGAAGUCAGCCGUCUAUGAACAAGGAAGCAGGUCCUCUCCAGGCACUGAAUGUACCAGUGCCUUGAUCUUGGACUUCCCAGCCUCCAGAACUAUGACAAUAAAUUCUGUUGUUUAAGCUA